CUAGAUCCAGCCCUUGAUGGUUCCCCCUUGGGGAGAAUAGGGAAGACGGUGCGCCCAUGGGCAAGUCCGUCGCUGCCCCCGCAACUGUAGGUGGCUGUUUUCCGGCCCGCCCCCAAAACGGGGCUGGCAGCGUCACUGGUUGCCGCCGCAGGGCGGCACCGGGAAGGCCGCCGGAAAAGGGAGGGUUCACCCUCCGCCACAAGCCAGGAGACCUGCCAUCCUUCCCGCCGCCCC
rnacentral:ncRNA from 2 species